UUUAAAUUCUCUCUUUUUCUAUAAAUUUUAAUGAUGACUUGAGUAUAAAACAAGAUGAUCCACUCUGCAGCACCAAAGGUGGGCAAGAGAAGAGAUCAGAAUCUGGUAUGAGACUGAAAAUCACUGUGGCAACCAGCUUCAGUGGGGCAGCUGGGGUUGGCUCUGAAGAAAGUCUGUUCCAUUUGUAUAGCAGACAGGAGCCCAUGGGGUUCCCAUCAGCUAGCACUGGGAGUGGACUUCAGAGGCUGCACGGGCUGCUGUUGGACUGGUCUAGGGGACGGGGGAGGAGGGAAGAUGCCUGUGAGGCAAGGCAGAAGGGCUUCUAGACCUCAGACUGAGGGUCAGGGAAGACCUAUCUUCCUAAAGGUGUUGGGGAAUAGUUAGGCUAGCAGAUCAGA
rnacentral:lncRNA from 1 species